rnacentral:rRNA from 1 species
AAAUAUUCAUAGGUAACGGUUGGGCAUGCGUCCUAUUAGAUAGUUGGGGGGGUAACGGCCCACCAAGUCGAUGAUAGGUAGGGGUUCUGAGAGGAAGGUCCCCCACACUGGUACUGAGACACGGACCAGACUCCUACGGGAGGCAGCAGUGAGGAAUAUUGGUCAAUGGGCGAGAGCCUGAACCAGCCAAGUCGCGUGAGGGAUGACUGCCCUAUGGGUUGUAAACCUCUUUUGUAUGGGGGGAAUAAGCUUUACGAGUAGAGUGAUGACAGUACCAUACGAAUAAGCAUCGGCUAACUCCGUGCCAGCAGCCGCGGUAAUACGGAGGAUGCGAGCGUUAUCCGGAUUUAUUGGGUUUAAAGGGUGCGUAGGCGGCAUUAUAAGUUAGUGGUAAAAUAUUGGGGCUUCACCUCACUACGCCAUUAAUACUGUAGAGCUAGAGAACAGACGAGGUAGGCGGAAUAAGUUAAGUAGCGGUGAAAUGCAUAGAUAUAACUUAGAACACCGAUAGCGAAGGCAGCUUACCAGACUGAGUCUGACGCUGAUGCACGAGAGCAUGGGUAGCGAACAGGAUUAGAUACCCUGGUAGUCCAUGCCGUAAACAAUGCUCACUGGCCUUAGGCGAUAUAUGGUCU